UUUGGAGAUAUUGAAUCAUGUUACCAUUUCUGUUUUUUUCCACCCUGUUUUCUUCCAUAUUUACUGAAGCUCAGAAGCAGUAUUGGGUCUGCAACUCAUCCGAUGCAAGUAUUUCAUACACCUACUGUGAUAAAAUGCAAUACCCAAUUUCAAUUAAUGUUAACCCCUGUAUAGAAUUGAAAAGAUCCAAAGGAUUAUUGCACAUUUUCUACAUUCCAAGGAGAGAUUUAAAGCAAUUAUAUUUCAAUCUCUAUAUAACUGUCAACACCAUGAAUCUUCCAAAGCGCAAAGAAGUUAUUUGCCGAGGAUCUGAUGACGAUUACUCUUUUUGCAGAGCUCUGAAGGGAGAGACUGUGAAUACAACAAUAUCAUUCUCCUUCAAGGGAAUAAAAUUUUCUAAGUCUGUUACCCAGGCUGGAGUGCAGUGGCACGAUCUCUGCUCACUGCAACCUCCAC
rnacentral:lncRNA from 10 species